rnacentral:rRNA from 1 species
GACAUAGGUUGCGAGCGUUAUUCGGAAUUACUAGGCGUAAAGCGAGUGUAGGCGGACCUUUAAGUCUGACGUUAAAUCUCCUGGCUUAACUAGGAGCUGUCGUCGGAUACUGAAGGCCUCGAAUGGAGUAGGGGGCAGGGGAAUUCCCGGUGUAGCGGUGAAAUGCGCAGAUAUCAGGAGGAACACCGGUGGCGAAGGCGGGACUCUGGGCCGAUACUGACGCUGAGGAGCGAAAGCGUGGGGAGCAAACAGG